rnacentral:rRNA from 1 species
AACGAACGCUGGCGGCAUGCCUAACACAUGCAAGUCGAACGAGACCUUCGGGUCUAGUUGCGCACGGGUGCGUAACGCGUGGGAACCUGCCGUUAGGUUCGGAAUAACUCAGAGAAAUUUGAGCUAAUACCGGAUGAUGUCUUCGGACCAAAGAUUUAUCGCCUUUAGAUGGGCCCGCGUUGGAUUAGCUAGUUGGUGGGGUAAAGGCCUACCAAGGCGACGAUCCAUAGCUGGUCUGAGAGGAUGAUCAGCCACACUGGGACUGAGACACGGCCCAGACUCCUACGGGAGGCAGCAGUGGGGAAUCUUGGACAACGGGCGAAAGCCUGAUCCAGCAAUGCCGCGUGAGUGAUGAAGGCCUUAGGGUUGUAAAGCUCUUUUACCCGAGAUGAUAAUGACGGUACCGGGAGAAUAAGCUCCGGCUAACUCCGUG